rnacentral:tRNA from 3 species
AAGGGAUUAGCUCAAUGGUAGAGCAAUCGUUUUACACACGAAAGGUUAGGUGUUCAAAUCACCUAUCCCUUA